GGGGAGGGGAGGGGAGAGAUAGUUUACGGACUGGAGAAAUGGCUGAAAGCAUUUGCUGCACUUCCAAAGGGCCCAAGUUAGGGUCCCAGUACCCACUUUGGACAGCUCACAGCCACCUGUAACUCCUGGUCUCUUUAGGUACCAACACACAUGUGAUAGACACUUUUACACACAUGCACGCAAAUAAAAAUAAAUCUUAAAACACUUUAAAAGGUCAGUCUUUAAAACCACUGGGAAGCCAUUUCCAGCAUGGAUGAUGGACCAGCGAGGGCAAUCAAAGGGCAUCUGGUCCCAGCAAGUGCUGCUCAGAGUGUUUAGCAUGCUCUCCUUGGGAAGAAGCAGGGGGGACAGAUCUAGGACAUUCACAAACCACCAGUGAGGGGGCAGGAAGAACACUCUAGGCUAAGACACCAGAUGUGCGACACACUGCAAUGUAGGACCCUUGCUCAGAUCUUGGCUAAGAUUUUUGUUUAUUCUUAUGUGUAUAAAUAUUGCACCUGUGCUUGCAUGUAUAUUUGUGCACCAUGUGUGAGCAAUGCCCACUGAGGCCAGAAGUGCUCUUGGGACUAGACUUACAGAUCACUGUGGGCUGGCUGCCACGUGACUAAUAGGAACCAAGUUCAGGCUCUCAGCGAGCAUCCUAACCGCUGCGCUGUCUCUUUGAUUGUGUCUCCUGGGUAUCGUGGUAGAGCUAGAGCCUCCCACAGGCCAGCAGCGUCUCAGCCUCUGAGGUUUAUCUCUAGCUCCUCACUUUUAAUGUGAGAAUAUUAUACAUUCCCAGUAUAUUCUCUGAUGAGAUCUCACUAACUUGUCCAGGCUGACCUUGAACCUGUAAUCUUUCUGUCUCAGCCUCCUGAGCAGCUGGGGAUACAGGUUUACACAACAGCCCUGGGUCUGCCUCUUUACUUCCCUUCAUAGCCAAGGCAGUACCCAAGGUUCCCUGACUCCACUGACCACUGUCAGCCUUGCUGCCGGUCCGUGCUCACACUUAAAGGCUCCUGGCCUUUGAUCAGGAUGCCCACAGCCUUCCAGAGUCCUUUUCUGUCUCCAAUUCACUCUCCAAAUUGGUGUUCAGAAACAUACUUUGCGAACAAAACCCUGACCAUACCAUUCCUCACAUUCUUUAAUUUUUAAAAAAUAAUUCUUAAUUUUUUUGAGAUCUUUCAGUAUCUCACUAUGAAGCCCAGGUUUGCUUUGAACUUGGAGCAAUCCUUCCGCCUCAGGCAUCUGAAUGCUGGCAUUCCGGGUCUAAGCCACCAUUCCUGUUUCCCAGUUUAGCAGUACUUAAAUGAUACUUCAGGUCCACCAAUAUUAGAAUUCCUUAAUGAGGACCCCUAGAUUCUGAGAGCCUCUAUCCUCUCUCACUUCUUGCCUGCCAAGCGGCCACUCCAAGCACUUGCUACUCCGAACAUGUCCCAGGCCCCUGCUACCCUCACUUCUGUCUGAAUACCCCAUGACUGGUUAGGUCCCUUUCAUCAGCAACACACUAUUGGCACAGACACCCCGACCACACCUAAGUUCCUUUUGUCCUGUGGCUGCUGACCAUGGUGUUUUACCCGAUGGUGACUCCUCCUGGGGCCUGUGUCUGCAGAGUGCCUCUCUGCACUGCCAAGCCCUGAGCCUGGCAUACAGAGCGAUGCUUAGGGAACGGUAAUGGAUUCUCUAGCUCCUCUGGGAAUUUAGAUGUCUUAGUAUGUUUCACUUUGGGUCUCAUUUUUGGUGCCACCAGUUUGCUCCUCAGAGCUGGUCCUCGUGUUCCCUGUCUAAAUAAGGAAUGAAGGCUUGCUUCCCUCCUAACUAGGUAGAGUAACUCAGGCCAGUCACUCAGCUCCUGCAGUACACGACUAUGACCACCUGGUGACACUGCUGGGCUACAGCUAAACUUGGCAAGCGGCUCUGAAAGCUGCGCUACCUCUAGGGGGCGCUGGUAGGUGACGUGUCUCAGCAGGAUGUUCCCACCGUAACAGGAUCCCUACCUACCUCUCACAAAGCUGGUCCCUCAGCCCGGAAGCCGCAUGCAUCUGCUGCCCAGCAAACCUUCUCCCAGGCAGCAAGCAGGGGUAGAAGUGCAGGUGAUGAAAGGAAGAAGGUGGACAGGUAGGGGUCCUGCUACCUCUUGGGGGUCCCUCCCAUAGCUAGUCCUGGGUUCAAGGUCUGACCUGGGGCAGGCCAAGGCUCCCCAUGCAGGGAUAGGAGCUGUGUAGCCUGGCUCUGUAGUGACCUGGGUUUCCCCAUACCUUCUGGGAUGGGUGAACAACCUGUUUUCUCAUCGCGGGUCUCUGGGAGAGUGAGGGGCCUAGAGGAGGCAGAGAGCUGCUCACAAGAGUGUCGAUCAUAGCCGAGGCCACACUGACACUGUCAGAGGCCAGGGACCACAGGGAGUGGGCAGGUGAGGAUGGAGGGUCGGGAAGCAAGCAUCUGGGAGAGGUAGCAGGGCCCCAAGAAGUCAAGGGGUACACAGAGGUGGACUCGUGCAGGGUGAGGACGACCACGGCUGUAUCCAUCACUGACUCCAGGACCACAAACAGGCAAGACAAGGUUGGAAGCUAAUGCUGGCCACACCCUCACCAGUGGUGCUCAGGAAGGGAGGAGGGAAGCCAUGAUGCCAGCUUUUAAAGAGAACCCAGGCUGGCUGUCUUAGAAGGAUGCUUACACCCACCUGCCCGCCUGCCAAAUGCUUUCCAUGUUACAAUGGUUUCCAAGAGCGGGCACCUGAGACUUCAGGGCAUGGUAUGUUCUAGGCUUCCUUCUCUGUCUUUAGGUAGGGUAGAUUCCUAGGCCCCAACUCCAUUUGUUAGUUACUUCUAUUGAUCUUGAAGGUUCCCAGUGAGGUCCUUGAAACCUUGAGAUUUCUGAGUAUGUGGUUUCUAGGUCCCCCUUCCAUUUACUCAGUGUCUGCUCUGCAUGUGACAGUUUCUAAGCCUCCCUUUCCACUGUACAUUCAUACUGCUUCCUUUGUAUGGCAGUGUCUAGAUCACUUUAUCUCGGUUUCUCGGUUCUCUUUGCAUAUGACAGUUUCUAGGCUUCCCUAGUGGACCCUUGAAGUAUGUGGUGGUACCUAUUAUAGAUCUUUUGGGUAGAGCAGAGUGAGGUCUCUUGGCCUCAUUAACCAUGUCAAACAUACACACGAUGGUUUCAAGGUUUCCCUUCCCAAGCUUCCUGGAUUCUCGGUGUGUCUGUUGAUCUCUAGGUCCCCAGUCCUUUGUCCCAUGGAUCCCUUGUGCAUCCCCUUUUUGUCCCAUGACUUGCCUAAGGUCCCUUUCUGUUUUAGGUAGAUGCUUUCUUCACAUUUCCCUUCCUUCUGUGGUCAAUAGGACAAAGCCAAAACCUUUGACAGGAGGGACCGUGGAAGUGGAGAAGCAGUCUGGCUGGGUCACCUAAACUACCCAACAGCCUGGUGAGGCUACAGAGGCACUUACUGGGAGUCCUAGCCAAUACAUUAAAACAAGAAGAAAUAGGGACUGGAGAGAUGGCUUAAUGGUUAAGAGCACUGACUGCUCUUCUGAAGGUCCUGAGUUCAAAUCCCAGCAACCACAUGGUGGCUCACAACCACCCGUAACGAGAUCUGAUGCCCUCUUCUGGUGUGUCUGAAGACAGCUACAGUGUACUUAUAUAUAAUAAAUAAAUCUUUACAAAAAACAAAAACAAGAAGAAAUACAAAGUAUAUGGAUUUGGCAAACAACUAUUUUGCACACAACUUGAUUUAUCUAUGUAGAAAAUCUUGAAAUAACUGUAAUGUGAUUUUUUUUUUUUUGGUUUUUCAAGACAGGGUUUCUCUGUGUAGCCCUGGCUGACCUGGAACUCACUUUGUAGACCAGGCUGGCCUCGAACUCAGAAAUUCUCCUGCCUCUGCCUCCCAAGUGAUGGGAUUAAAGGCGUGCGCCACCACUGCCCGGCUGAUUUAUCUUGGUUUUUUUUUUUUUUUAUUGUUUAAAGAAUCCCUAGUUGCUAGCAACUGGCCUUUGGAAAUUCUUAGAACUGCUUGACCCUAUGACCUACCUUCUCUGGGAACAGAAGGGGAUAUAGAAAACCCAGCACAGGCUGAGAAAUGAGAUUGACAGGGUUGGAAAAGAGAAGGCAGCUGGUGCAGAAAGAGAUGGAGUAGAGACCGGAUGGUUAGGAAGAGAAGAUGGCUGGAAGAGAACUGGGCCUGCAGGGUGAGACGAGAAGACCACUGAGCCAGAGAAGAUAUUGUUAGGAGACAGGAAAAGAACCCACAAAGUAGUGAAGACCAGCCUCAACUAACAAAAAUGUUCCUGGAAUUAAUAAAUUAUUACAGCAAGAAGAUACAUUAAUACAUAGAAGCUCAUAAAAGCCAGCAGUGAGCAGCUGGAAUUCGAAAUUAAAAUAUGUAAUAUAUGUAUAUUACUAUUGCCCAGAGUGGUGGCACAUGGCUUUAGUCUCAAGCACUUGGGAUGCAAAGGUGGCAAUGUCUCUGUUAGUUAAGAACUAGUCUGGCCUGUGCAACCUUGGCAUCUAGGGCUACAUGGGAAGACCCUGUCUCAAAAAAGCAGCAGCAGCAACAAAAUAAAAUAAUUAAAGGCCUGAAUGGCACAAUGAACGAAGGCAAAGGAACACAUGAACGCAUGAAAGUCAGUAUCAUCCGGGAACUGCAAAACUGCAAAAUAGCAGGGAGAUCAUCACAGCAAACAUCCAGGCCAGGUAAUCCCAGCACUCAGGACAAUCGCUUGAGUUUGAGGACAGCCUGGACCAAAACCAAAACCACCACCAACAAAACAGCUUCCCAAUGAAACAGUAUUGCACACCUAUUAGGAUGGCCAAAACAUCCAAUGACAAUACCAAGUGGAGGUGAGGAUGGGGGAAGAUGAAACUCUCCCAUGUUGUGAGGACUUUGUAUGGUUUGAGUGAGAAUGACCCUAUAGGGUCACUAGUUAGGGGAACUGUUUGGGAAGGACUGGAGGUGUGGCUGUUUUGGAGCAGACGUGGUCUUGUUGUAGGAGGCGUGUCACUGGGGUGGGCUCUGAGGUUUCAGAAGCCCACAGUAGGCCUAGUGUCUCUCUCUGCCUGUUGCCUGUGGAUCAUGAUGUAAAGCUCGCAGCGACUGCUCCAGCACCAUGCCUGCCUGCCACUAUGCUCCCCACCGCAAUGACAAUGAUUAACUCUCUGAAACUGUAAGCAAGUCCUCAAUUAAAUGCUCUCUCUUCUAAA